rnacentral:rRNA from 1 species
AACGAACGCUGGCGGCAUGCCUAACACAUGCAAGUCGAACGAGACCUUCGGGUCUAGUGGCGCACGGGUGCGUAACGCGUGGGAAUCUGCCCCUGGGUUCGGAAUAACUCGCCGAAAGGCGUGCUAAUACCGGAUGAUGACGUAAGUCCAAAGAUUUAUCGCCCAAGGAUGAGCCCGCGUUGGAUUAGCUAGUUGGUGAGGUAAAGGCUCACCAAGGCGACGAUCCAUAGCUGGUCUGAGAGGAUGAUCAGCCACACUGGGACUGAGACACGGCCCAGACUCCUACGGGAGGCAGCAGUGGGGAAUAUUGGACAAUGGGCGAAAGCCUGAUCCAGCAAUGCCGCGUGAGUGAUGAAGGCCUUAGGGUUGUAAAGCUCUUUUACCCGGGAUGAUAAUGACCGUACCGGGAGAAUAAGCUCCGGCUAACUCCGUG